rnacentral:misc_RNA from 1 species
GAUGAAGAACGUAGCGAAAUGCGAUACGUAAUGUGAAUUGCAGAAUUCAGUGAAUCAUCGAAUCUUUGAACGCACAUUGCGCCUGCCAGCACUCUGGCAGGCAUGCCUGUUCGAGCGUCAUUUCAACCAUCAAGCCCUAGGCUUGCGUUGGAGCCCUGCGGCUGCCGCAGGCCCCUAAAAGCAGUGGCGGGCGCGCUAUCACACCGAGUGCAGUAGAUUACUCUUCGCUCAGGGCGUGUGGCGGGUUCCAGCCGUGAAACCCCCUACUUCUCAAGGUUGACCUCGGAUCAGGUAGGAAUACCCGCUGAACUUAAGCAUAUCAAUAAGCGGAGGA